GGGGUAGUUUUUAGUACGUAGCCGCCAUGGAUGGCGAAUCGUGUAUUCUGCUACUAAGAAGCAGCUGUAUCUCUUGAAGACUUUCUACCUCC
rfam:Glossina austeni unplaced genomic scaffold Scaffold32, whole genome shotgun sequence.